rnacentral:rRNA from 1 species
AACGAACGCUGGCGGCGUGGAUAAGACAUGCAAGUCGAGCGGGAUAUUCAGGGUAGCAAUAUUCUGGAUGUUCAGCGGCGCAAGGGUGCGUAACACGUGGGUAAUCUGCCGUGAAGCCUGGAAUAACUCGCUGAAAGGCGAGCUAAUACCGGAUGUGAAGUUUGGGAGGCAUCUUUUGAACUUCAAAGCUGGGGACCGCAAGGCCUGGCACUUCACGAUGAGCCCGCGGCCUAUCAGCUAGUUGGUGAGGUAACGGCUCACCAAGGCUAAGACGGGUAGCUGGUCUGAGAGGACGACCAGCCACACUGGAACUGAGACACGGUCCAGACACCUACGGGUGCAGCAGUCGAGAAUUUUUCACAAUGGGCGAAAGCCUGAUGGAGCGACGCCGC